AACGAACGCUGGCGGCAUGCCUAACACAUGCAAGUCGAACGAGACCUUCGGGUCUAGUGGCGCACGGGUGCGUAACGCGUGGGAAUCUGCCCCUCGGUUCGGAAUAACAGUGAGAAAUUGCUGCUAAUACCGGAUAAUGACUUCGGUCCAAAGAUUUAUUGCCGAGGGAUGAGCCCGCGUAGGAUUAGCUAGUUGGUGGGGUAAUGGCCUACCAAGGCGACGAUCCUUAGCUGGUCUGAGAGGAUGAUCAGCCACACUGGGACUGAGACACGGCCCAGACUCCUACGGGAGGCAGCAGUGGGGAAUAUUGGACAAUGGGCGAAAGCCUGAUCCAGCAAUGCCGCGUGAGUGAUGAAGGCCUUAGGGUUGUAAAGCUCUUUUACCCGGGAUGAUAAUGACAGUACCGGGAGAAUAAGCUCCGGCUAACUCCGUGCCAGCAGCCGCGGUAAUGUACAGUGU
rnacentral:rRNA from 1 species